GCAACAUCCCAGAAUUUGACUCGUACAGAAUUUAUCAACACUCUUUCCAUCGAUUUAUAUGGUGUCUCUUAAGAAGUGAUAGCUAUUAUUUCAAUUUUACACAUUCCAGUUUGUAAUCCAGAAUGCCACUAAAGAUAGAUUUCAGUCUAUGGCUUUUGACUCGUUUCGUGUGGCCUCCAGACCUCGACGAGGACCCAAUAAAAAUCGAACGAUUAUAUUUUGGACGCAUAUUGACAGUUCGUUUCCUAUUUAGUUUGAUUGUAUCACUAUCAUUAAUCUUCUACGUGUGGAAAGUUCAAGGGUUCAAAAGUCACAAAAUAACAGUGAGGGCGAUCGCCGGAUAUGUGAUAUGUUUAGUUAUACUCACUAUUAUUGUUUUGGACACUGAACAAUUGUAUCAUCAUUAUUGGUACCAAGAGCACCUUGGGAAACUUGUUGUGUUGUUUAAGUUAUCUGAGAUUGUUUUAGACGUGUUUACAAUGUCUCAGUGUACUUUUCCAAAGAGAGAGGACAUCAGAAUAAUUGGAGGGAUAGCUGCGGCAAGCUACUCCCUUGACUUCGUUGAAAUAUUGUUAAUAUGGUUUGGCAUAACUAUUGAUUAAGUGAUACUGUAACUUUUGAAAAUAUGAACUUUAGAUUUAUAGGAAUUUUUAUUAAUGAACGCAGUAAUUUACCUUAGUGUGCAUAUAUGCAGUUAUGUGAAUUAGAAACCAUCAAUAGUAUUCAUGAUAUUGCUUAAUCAGUUCAGCAUGUUCAGGGACAGUCCCUGAUCAGUUUUAAAUCUAGAUCUUGUGCAACAUUUUACAUGAUGUAUCUGUUAACAUUUGUACAUCAAAAAAUAUGCAAUGGUUAUUUGAAUACAAAACAUUGAUUAUUAUUUUAUUAUCAAGAUUUACCAUUAUUUAUGAUACAUGUAUAUGGGGAGAAAAAUAAUCGGGUACACUAUAAAUACAUACAGUGUGUAUAUGGCAAAAAUUUGUGAUUCAAAAGCCUAUUACAUGUACAUUGUGCAUGUUGUAGCUUGCUGGGUAAAAUGUUUAAUAAAAAAAUAUUUUUUCUAAUUACUAUUUUUAAUGUGGUAUUGGAAUAUGUAGCAAAAUGCAUAUUUUCUUCACACAUGUACAAUGUACAGUGUAUAUCCAUGACAAUUCAUGAUAUAUAUUGGGACAAAAAAUUAAUGAUCAUAAUGAAAAUCAAAAUUUAUUUCUCAAUAAAUUUUUAAUUCCAUGAUACAUGUAUGUUUUAGUCUUUGUGUCUUUUCUGUCAUCUUUUGAUCCAUUUUGCAGUUCCUACAUUUGUACUUUUAAGUCUUAUAUUUGGCGUAUUGUUUGAUAAGUGCAUGAAUUUUUGUACAUAAACAAAAUCAUCAAUCAAUAUGCCUCCAUUUUUCAGAAAUUUACAUGAAACUUAAGCUAUUUUUUUUGUACAUGGACAUGUAAAAUUAAUUAAAUUUUGGAAAAUGUACAUACAUGUAUUUGUAUGUACAUUUUGUACAAUGUAGACUAGUACAAACAAAUGCUGUAUUCAUAAAUCACUUUUACAGGCAUCCUAACAUUUAGAUACAUUUAUACACCAAACAUUAAAUCAAUCCCUCAAUUAGUUCAGAUACAUGUACACUGAACAUGCUGAACCUGGUUUUUUACAAUGCAUAUAUAGAUAUAUAUGCAUAUACAUUUACAUGUCAUAUAUAAAUGAAGAUAUACACGUAUCAUACCACAUCUCCUUAUUUUAUAUUAGUCCCAUUUUAUUCUACACAAUUUUAUAUUUUGAUACUAGUAUUUUUCUCUUACAUAUGUACUGUACAAUGUAUAUUGAUAUUUUUUUACUAAUCUUUGCUGUUUUUUAUAUCAUGGUUAACCUUGGCUUUUACUUUUAUUUUUACAUUUACAUAAUUUUGUACAUGUACUGUACAUGUGUAAUAAUGAGUGCAAUGUGACUGAAACUUAAUUUGUCAGAUGUUCAAAAUGUGCAAACUGUACAUGUACAUUGUACAAUGUAAACUGUAUAUGUACAUUUUUUGUACUUUGUUUAAAGUAUUGGGAAUGAUGUCUAAAUCAUUUUAACAUGUUUAAAAAAUAAUAUACAUUUCCAUGUACAUAUAUACUAGUCUAAAUAAAUGUACAUGUACAAUGUAUAUUAUGUAUAUGAUAUCUAAUGUCAUGAUGCCAAAAAAAAAAAUUAUUUUAUAUUUUAUUUAUUAAAAACAUUCCACAUAAAACAACUAUAAAACAAUUAAGUCAAAUCAGAAAAUGCAGCAGCAAUUCAAUUAUGGGACAAACUAUUCAAUUCUAAUAUCAAAUUCAAUUAAUUCACUUUCAUCUUAACUUCACUUUACAUAUCAAAGCAUUAUUAAAAGAAAAAUUUGAUAUGAAAGUACCCAAGUAAUUUUUGAAAAUAUAUUUUUUUCAAUAUUCCAUAUUUUACUGAUAAAUAGACUUGAAUUAUUAUGCAGCUAACAUUUAAAGACAGUCUAAGGUAAAAGUUUUUCAUUCAUCAAUAUGACUUAACAAAACCUUCAAUCAAUUUUUAUAGAAAAUUUUACAGAAGCUUUUUUAUGAUAAAGGGAUAACAUCUGAAUCAAAAUAUUGAAAACUUUUUUUUUCAACUUCUAAUUUUUUGCUGAAAGAUUGACUUACAUGUACGGCAGAGGCAGGUUUAAUGCAUAUGCACAAAUUAUACAAUAUCAUAAUCAUAUAUUUGUACUAAAGGCCCUUGGGAAAAAGACCCCUCCUUCCCUUUUUUUGUUUGCAUUUAAAGAUUUUUUUCAUCAAAUUUACUUUAAUAUUACAACUUAUUUCCCAUUUUUUUAUGGAUAAGAACAAGAAAACAUAAUAGAACUACAAUUGUUGAAAUCAUUUUAAUGAAUUAAUGACAUAAUUAAACAAUGUUAUAGCAAAGAAUUAAAUGCAAACAGGUACAGAUUUUAGAUGGAGGGCAUGUUAGCACAUUUUCUUGUCUGAAAAAGGACAAUUUUAUCAUGUUUAUACACGUAGAUGAAUAGUUGAAAUAAUUAAAUGAAACAAUAUAAUAUUGCCAGGGGCAGAUCCAGCCAUUUUUAAAAGGGGGGUUCUAACCCAGGAUAAAAGGGGGGGGGGGGGGGUCCAACCAUAUGUCCCCAUUCAAAAGCAUUGAUCGUCAAUAAAAAGGGGCCCCCCGGACCCCCCCUUUUGGACCCGCCACUGUAUUGCUAGAUUUAUAUAUAAUACUAAAUGUAUGGGGCCGCAAAAAGCUUUUUCUAUUAAUUGAACUUAAGGGAUUAGUUUACACUGAAAAGUAAUUAAUUUCAUUCAGAAAACCAACAUACAUAGCACCAAUAAGUGUACAGGUAGAGCGUUAACUGAAAGGAAAGAGGGAGCACAGAAAGGGCAGAGGGGAUCAAAGAAAGGGCAGAGGGGAUCGUAGAAAAUGCCGACAGGAGCACAGAAAGAUUGUUUGAUUGCUGUCCUUUUUAAGUUUACCCCAUAUUUCCUUUUAUUAAUAAAUAUAAUGAUUAAUGAAAUAUUGAAUUUCAUUUGUCAUGAACACAAAAUC